UACAGAGGGUGCGAGCGUUGUCCGGAAUCACUGGGCGUAAAGGGCGCGUAGGUGGCGGCCCAAGUCCGUGGUGAAAGCUCGCCGCUUAACGGGCGAGUCGGCCACGGAGACUGGGGUGGCUCGAGCACUGUAGGGGCAGUAGUGGAAUUCCGGGGUUCGUAGCGGUGAAAUGCGCAGAUAUCGGGAGGAACACCGGUGGCGAAGGCGGUUC
rnacentral:rRNA from 1 species